rnacentral:tRNA from 1 species
GGGAAUGUGGCUUAGUGGUAGAGUGCUUGCCUAGCAUGCAUGAAGCCGUGGGUUUGAUUUCCUCAGUAUCA